UACGUAGGUGGCAAGCGUUAUCCGGAAUUAUUGGGCGUAAAGCGCGCGCAGGUGGUUUCUUAAGUCUGAUGUGAAAGCCCACGGCUCAACCGUGGAGGGUCAUUGGAAGCUGAGAGACUUGAGUGCAGAAGAGGAAAGUGGAAUUCCAUGUGUAGAGGUGAAAUGCGUAGAGAUAUGGAGGAACACCAGUGGCGAAGGCGACUUUCUGGUCUGUAACUGACACUGAGGCGCGAAAGCGUGGGGAGCAAACAGG
rnacentral:rRNA from 1 species